UAGUAUCGAGUGAAUGUCGAGGGCGAAUCGAAUAACGAAUCGAGAUAAACGGAUGUGAAUGUUGGACUGUUGGGACUUGGAAUUGGAAUUGGCCAAAGAAAACGGACAAAAGGGAACCAAGUGAUAAAGAUCCGGGGAAUCGCAGGGAAUCGGAAAAAACACACGGCCACGCGUUUAAGCAAAAGCAUUUUUCGCGACCUCUCCAGCAAGUAACCUCUGGCACCACCCGCCCGCUUCCGCCCGCCCGCGUUUUCCAGUCCGUUUUGUGCAUAUACUAGAAAAAGUGAUGUGAUGUGAGCAGAGCAGAGCAGAGCAGAGAGCCGCGAUUCGACUGACAUAAAUUCCUAUUUUUAUACGGGCAGAGAAAAGGCGAAAAGCGAAAAAGGAAAAGCGAAAAGCGAAAAGCAUCGAUACGGAAUCAAUUUGCCUGCCAGACGCUCCAAAACAAAGGGGGAAAACAGCAGCAGCCCAAAAAGGAAUUCCUUUCCAGCAAAAGAUUCAGGCAUUUACACUCGCCUCCCACUCUCCCUCUCUUCCUCUCUCUCGCUGUCUGUGUCGGUGACGUUGUCGGUGUUUUUGUACAAGUGUCGUUGUCCGGAUCGGAUCCGAUCUGAUCUGUUAGUUAAUCAAUCCAUCAUUGCCAAACGAAACUGUGAAACAAUAAGUGGAAUUAUACCUUUUGCUAGAAUAUACACACAUAUACAAUAUUUACAACUCGAAGUCGAGGCUCUGACAUUUUGCCAGUCGGAGCUCGAUACGGGAGUCGCCUUGGAAUACCUACCUAAUCAUUGCCGCCGCCAGUGUCUGCCAUCCAUCAACAUUGCAAUCGGAAUUGGAAUCGGAAUCGGAAUCAUCAUUAUCAUCGGAACAUCUGCGGCCAUUUGCCAGCUGUGGCAUUCGCUGGGGACCAGGAGAGUGAGAGGGAACGCUGUCGCUUACGCACCCUGUCGCCGACAAUAUCAUCAAGAUAUCUUCAUUCGAAGAAGACUACAGGGCUGACAGGCCCAUGGUGCAGCGCGCAUCAUCCUCGGAUGCUCCCUCCGUUCAGGGUGGCCAACAUCGAGAGUCUCGAUUUGGCCUUGGAUACACGUCUUACCAGAGUGGAUACAACAAGCUCUUCACACAGGGUUCUGCCGACUCGAACUACUCACAACCGUCAUCCGAUCUGUCGCUAGACGAGGAAAAGGAAUCGCUUCGGCGAGAAAAGGAACGUCAGGCCUUAAGCCAGUUGGAUAAAGCGAGGAGCAAACCAGUGGCGUUCGCUGUGCGAACCAACGUAGCAUACGAUGGCGCUAUCGACGACGAUUCGCCCGUGCAGGGUGGCGCCGUUUCAUUCGAGAUCAGGGAGUUCCUGCACAUCAAAGAGAAGUAUGACAAUAACUGGUGGAUCGGCCGGCUGGUCCGAGAAGGCAGUGAUGUGGGCUUCAUACCCAGCCCCGCUAAGCUAGACAACAUUCGUAUGCAGAACCAAACCAGACCCUCAAGACUGUAUGGCACAAAGGGCUCGUCGAGCGGCAAUCUGGGCGCCGGUGGAGGCCAAGCAGGUGCGGAGCCAUCACGAGGUAGCACACCCCCCACACCUGAUCCCUACAGUACAACACCACGCAAGAAAAAAACAGAUUCCAUGGGACCGGGACGUCACGGGAAGACACCGCUGGCCACGGCACCGAACAAGGAGAAGCGCAAGCCGUUCUUCAAGAAGCAGGAGACGGCCAGCCCGUACGAUGUGGUGCCAUCGAUGCGACCCGUCGUCCUGGUGGGUCCGAGCCUUAAGGGCUACGAGGUGACCGACAUGAUGCAGAAGGCGCUCUUCGACUUCCUCAAGCACCGCUUCGAGGGCCGCAUCAUCAUCACGCGCGUGAUGGCCGACAUUUCCCUGGCGAAGCGCUCCAUCCUGAACAAUCCAUCGAAGCGGGCCAUCAUGGAGCGGUCGAGCAGUCGGUCCGACAAUCUCGGCAAGGUGCAGGAGGAGAUCGAGCGCAUCUUCGAGCUGGCCCGCUCGCUCCAGUUAGUCGUACUCGAUUGUGAUACAAUCAAUCAUCCGUCACAAUUAGCAAAAACUUCAUUAGCGCCAACAGUAGUGUACUUAAAGAUUAGUAGUAGUAAGGUUUUACAGCGUUUGAUCAAAUCACGCGGCAAAUCGCAGGCGAAAAACCUCUCCGUUCAAAUGGUUGCCGCCGAGAAGCUAUCCCAAUGUCCACCGGAAAUGUUCGAUGUGAUUCUAGACGAGAACCAGCUGGAAGAUGCCUGCGAGCACAUAGCCGAGUAUUUGGAGACCUACUGGAAGGCCACACAUCCCGAUAUUCGUGCAGUGCCGCCGAUAGCCAGGCCCCUGCCGCAGGAGGCCUCCCCCUUGGCGGAUGCGGCACGCCUCGGACCGACACCGCCAGUUACUCCGGGCACUGUGCGCCUCUAAGCACAGGUCACCACCACUCGUUACCCCCAGUGUAAUCUCCCCUGAUUUCUGUACUCCCCACGUUUUCGGUAUUCAAAUCAUCCAAUCCAAGUUGCAAUCGUUGUUUAGAUCUGGUUUAGAGGAAGCUCGUACCACCACAGCCGGCGCCAGACGACGGCGGGACGCCACCAGGAGCGGGGCGGUGGCGUCGGAGCCGGCGGCUAUGAG
rnacentral:misc_RNA from 1 species